AAGAGUAUGUGCUCAAUAUACAAGACAAUGUUAAAAAUCAGUUCAUUUUAGCAGCAACAUUGGGAAUUUAUAGUAUUAGCAAACAGGAUGUAUUUUCCUCAAAUCUGGGUUUGAUAAAUGACUUGGCCACAUCUGUUACUCUGCAUGAACAGCCCCUUAGCAUGAAUUCUAAGUCUUACCAGGAGACACUGGUUUAUUGUACAUUUAGAGUGGCUUUACCGUGUGUACGAAAAGUCUUAUGUAAAAGAAUGUUAGCCACAAACGCUGGGAAACAGCCCAAGUGUUCAGUAAUAAGAAACUGGUUAAAUAUACUAUAAACCCAUAAGACGGAGAUUUCACAUCCGUUAAAAAUGCAGUAUCUAUACUUAUAUGGAAUAAUCCUCACGACAUUUAUGUAUAUAUUUUUAACUUUAUUGAGGUCAUAUUGGCUUAUAAUAUUGUGUACAUUUCAGAUAUACAUUAUUAUAUUUCAAUUUCUGUGUAAACUGCAUCGUGUUCACCCCAAUAGUCUAGUUUUUAUCCAUCACCAUACUUAUGUGACCCCUUAGCCCUUUUGCCCUCCCCUCACUCCCUUCCCUUGUGUUAAGCACCAAUCUGUUCUCCUUAUCCAUGUGUUUGUUUAUCAUUCAUAUAUGAGCGAAAUCAUAUGGUGCUUGUCUUUCUCUGUCUGACUUAUUUCACUUAGCAUGAUACCCUCAAGGUCCAUCCAUGUUGCUGCAAAUGGCACAAUUUUGUCUUUUGUAUGACAGAGUAGUAUUCCAUUGUAUACAUAUACCACAUCUUCUUUAUCUAUUCAUCCGUUGACAGGCACUUGGGUUGCUUCCAUGCUCAAGACAUAUUUUUAAAUGAGAAAUGAAAGAUGGAGAAUAGUAGCUACAGAAGACUACAGUUUAUUUUUACUUUAAAAAAAUUUUACUUUUCAUUUUGAAAUAAUUUUGCAUUUACAGUUACAAAAAUGGUACAAAGAAUUCCUGUUUAUCCUUCACCCAGUUUCUCCAAAAGUUAACCCCUCACAUAACAGCAGUGCAACAAUCUAAACUAGGAAAUCAACAUUGAUGCAAUUCCAUGAACUAUUCUACAAACUUUUUUCAAAUUUCUUUCAGUUGUCCCACUAAUGUCCUUUAGUGUACUUUAAUCUUGGGCAACAUCUCCAAUUCAUCAGUCUUUUCCUUUUAUGACUUUGACACUUUUUAAGAGUAUUCACCAGAAAUUUUGUAAAAUGUCCCUCAACUGGGUCUUCCCAAUGUUUCCUUAUGAUUAGAUUCAGGUUAAAAUAUUUUUUUUUGGCAGGAAUAUCAUAAAAGUGGUGCUGUGCCCUUCACAGUGCAUAUCAGGAGAUGCAUGAUGUUGACAUAUCUCAUUGCUGGAGCUGUCAACGUGAUCACUUGGUUAAGAUCUCUUGAGUUGUCCACACAGAAGUCUCUUCAAUGUUGUGCGGGAUUUCCCAUUGCUCCCAUUUCCACCGUGCCCCCCGGUGGUGAUAUUUUUGACUCUUGUUCUGUUUCAAUCCUGUCAUCUGUGGAUGAAAUAAUGCUCCCCUCGCUAGAACCACAGGAGAGAUGGUGAGGGGAAAAUGUGUGUGUAUUUUUAAACUGGCUUAUUUCUUUAACCUUCCUGAGACUUGUGUAGUGGUUAAAAUAGCACUGUCAACUAAAACUUUCGGCAGCGAUGGAAAUGUACUAUAAUUGGCACCAUCUGAUACAGCAGUCACUAGCCACAUGUGGCUAUUGGACACUUGAAAUGUGGCCAGUGCACCUGGAAAACGGAAUUUUUGGCUUUAUUUAAUUUUAAUUAAAAUUUAAAUGGUCACAUGUGGUUCGUGGUUACUGUUUGGGACAGUACAAGUUGAAAGUGCUUUCUGGAAUGUGCUUCUUGCUAGCUGUGUGAUCUUAGGUUCUGGCGUCUGCUGCAUACUGUGUCCAUUCCUGUGCUGCCCGCAGACUAUGAAACCCUCAAUCACCAUGGUGAAUUUCCACUUGGAAGAUCUGUUGUCCUGUCUUCACUGUGAUGUCUUGGCAUCACUCGAGGUACUGUCAUCAUAGGAAAACACCUGGAUUUGGAUUCAAAGACAAAGCUGUUUAUAAAACCAGUUGUGCAAUUACUUCUGUUGCCUUGUCCCUAUCUAUAACAGCUGUUCUGGAAAGUACUGCAUUUGCUUCCCACAUUUAAUUAGUCACUAAUGACCAACACGGGCUAUAAAUGAGUUCUUUGCCCAUUGUUGAUGAUUCAGGUCAAGCACGGCAGAUGGUCCCUUAUGCUGAAUUCUCCAACAAGCAUUUAUUACGAGAAGAUGGUCGAAUCAAGUUCAAUAGAACAGCCAAGAGCAAACAGUUUGCAGAUGGCCAGGUUCCUAGCAUGGGGAUAUGGUUCCUAGCCUUCCUUUUGAAGCAGACUUUCCUUUCUGCUUCCUUCUUACUCCUUCCUUCUUUUCUUUUCUUUCUUUCUUUCUUUCUUUUUUUUUUUUUUUUGCUCUUUUUAUUUCCUAUGUUCCUACCCAAGGGGAGUAUGCCAAAAAAAAAAAAAGAAAGAAACUAUGAUUUCUUUCACCUUCCCAGGUGAAAUUGACAAUAAAUUUAGGGAGAUAAAACCUGA
ensembl:lncRNA